rnacentral:rRNA from 1 species
AGAGUUUGAUUAUGGCUCAGAUUGAACGCUGGCGGCAGGCUUAACACAUGCAAGUCGAGCGGGGAUAGGGUGCUUGCACCUGAUUCCUAGCGGCGGACGGGUGAGUAAUGCUUAGGAAUCUGCCUAUUAGUGGGGGGACAACGUUCCGAAAGGGACGCUAAUACCGCAUACGUCCUACGGGAGAAAGCAGGGGAUCUUCGGACCUUGCGCUAAUAGAUGAGCCUAAGUCGGAUUAGCUAGUUGGUGGGGUAAAGGCCUACCAAGGCGACGAUCUGUAGCGGGUCUGAGAGGAUGAUCCGCCACACUGGGACUGAGACACGGCCCAGACUCCUACGGGAGGCAGCAGUGGGGAAUAUUGGACAAUGGGGGGAACCCUGAUCCAGCCAUGCCGCGUGUGUGAAGAAGGCCUUUUGGUUGUAAAGCACUUUAAGCGAGGAGGAGGCUUACCUGGUUAAUACCUGGGAUAAGUGGACGUUACUCGCAGAAUAAGCACCGGCUAACUCUGUGCCAGCCGCUGC